rnacentral:rRNA from 1 species
GACGAACGCUGGCGGCGUGCUUAACACAUGCAAGUCGAACGGAAGGGCCCUGCUUUUGUGGGGUGCUCGAGUGGCGAACGGGUGAGUAACACGUGAGUAACCUGCCCUUGACUUUGGGAUAACUUCAGGAAACUGGGGCUAAUACCGGAUAGGAGCUCCUGCUGCAUGGUGGGGGUUGGAAAGUUUCGGCGGUUGGGGAUGGACUCGCGGCUUAUCAGCUUGUUGGUGGGGUAGUGGCUUACCAAGGCUUUGACGGGUAGCCGGCCUGAGAGGGUGACCGGCCACAUUGGGACUGAGAUACGGCCCAGACUCCUUCGGGAGGCAGCAGUGGGGAAUAUUGCACAAUGGGCGGAAGCCUGAUGCAGCAACGCCGCGUGCGGGAUGACGGCCUUCGGGUUGUAAACCGCUUUCGCCUGUGACGAAGCGUGAGUGACGGUAAUGGGUAAAGAAGCACCGGCUAACUACGUG